rnacentral:rRNA from 1 species
UGGGGAAUUUUGGACAAUGGGCGAAAGCCUGAUCCAGCAAUGCCGCGUGUGUGAAGAAGGCCUUCGGGUUGUAAAGCACUUUUGUCCGGAAAGAAAUCCUUGGCUCUAAUACAGUCGGGGGAUGACGGUACCGGAAGAAUAAGCACCGGCUAACUACGUGCCAGCAGCCGCGGUAAUACGUAGGGUGCAAGCGUUAAUCGGAAUUACUGGGCGUAAAGCGUGCGCAGGCGGUUUGCUAAGACCGAUGUGAAAUCCCCGGGCUCAACCUGGGAACUGCAUUGGUGACUGGCAGGCUAGAGUAUGGCAGAGGGGGGUAGAAUUCCACGUGUAGCAGUGAAAUGCGUAGAGAUGUGGAGGAAUACCGAUGGCGAAGGCAGCCCCCUGGGCCAAUACUGACGCUCAUGCACGAAAGCGUGGGGGAGCAAAACGGGAUUAGAUACCCUGGUAGUCCACGCCCUAAACGAUGUCAACUAGUUGUUGGGGAUUCAUUUCCUUAGUAACCGUAGCUAACGCGUGAAGUUGACCGCCUGGGGGAGUACGGUCGCAAGAUUAAAACUCAAAUGAAUUGACGGGGUCAUAGCUGUUUCCUG